rnacentral:rRNA from 1 species
UGGGGAAUUUUGGACAAUGGGCGAAAGCCUGAUCCAGCAAUGCCGCGUGUGUGAAGAAGGCCUUCGGGUUGUAAAGCACUUUUGUCCGGAAAGAAAUCCUUGGCUCUAAUACAGUCGGGGGAUGACGGUACCGGAAGAAUAAGCACCGGCUAACUACGUGCCAGCAGCCGCGGUAAUACGUAGGGUGCAAGCGUUAAUCGGAAUUACUGGGCGUAAAGCGUGCGCAGGCGGUUUGCUAAGACCGAUGUGAAAUCCCCGGGCUCAACCUGGGAACUGCAUUGGUGACUGGCAGGCUAGAGUAUGGCAGAGGGGGGUAGAAUUCCACGUGUAGCAGUGAAAUGCGUAGAGAUGUGGAGGAAUACCGAUGGCGAAGGCAGCCCCCUGGGCCAAUACUGACGCUCAUGCGCGAAAGCGUGGGGAGCAAACAGGAUUAGAUACCCUGGUAGUCCACGCCCUAAACGAUGUCAACUAGUUGUUGGGGAUUCAUUUCCUUAGUAACGUAGCUAACGCGUGAAGUUGACCGCCUGGGGGAGUACGGUCGCAAGAUUAAAACUUAAAUGAAUUGACGGGGUCAUAGCUGUUUCCU